UGGAAAUGAUGAAACAGAGAUAACUGGGUGCAUUUGAAUGGCGUGUGAUUUGAUCAUUAUUAAAUUUAUUAUAAAAUUAAGUAAAUAUUAAAAUUGGUUUGGGGGGGGGUGGUGUAUGUAUGUGUGUGCAUGGAUGUAAGUGUAAAGGCUAAGGAAAGGGAGCCCUGACUGACAAUGCAGAUAUCGGAGUGCAUCUGAGGCUGUUGUAAAAAUACAUGAGUGUUUAUUACAGCUUUGCCAAUGAUUAUAACUCAGGAACAGCUCACUUACCUGCCUGGCACCCUACAGUCUCUAACAGGUUCAUAAAUGUGGACCUGUGAUCUGAUCCAU